AUAAAUUAAUGUCUUCGCUCUAAGGUUAUCAGAAGACAGAUCUACUGAUAACUUUCAUCUUUUGGUAUAAAGGUUCGAGUUUCUUGAUUGAAGUUUGCUUGAGUUUUUAGGAUUAGGUUCUUCUAAGCUACAUUCUUUGUUUUGAUUUUUCAUAGACCAACUAAAACACAAGUAGCCUCACCUCAGAUAAAUGUCUUCACCUCACCUAAUCAUCAAGAAAUGUGAUACCAAAAAUAAUAACAGAGCAUAUGGUAAAUGAUAAACCCAUGUUGGUGCUAAGAUGUUCUUUACCAAAAUGAUUUCAUUUGUUUUUCUCCUCUCUCUCUCUCUCCCUGUGUUCCCCUUCUCAGGAGAGCUUUAAGGCUCUGAGAACUCUUUCUCUUUUAGAAAUAUUAUUUGCAUUUCCUGAUCUGAACACAUUAUGGGAAGGCUCACCAUGCAUUUUGGGGCACUCAAAGGCAUAACAAGGCUACAAGCACUUACUCUCGUGGUCACACCUAGUUAGGAGACAAGCUAUUGCAAUUCUGACGUUGGAGUUCAAGUU